rnacentral:tRNA from 1 species
GGGACCCAGCUCAGUGGUAGAGAACUUGCCUAGCAUGCAUGAGGUCCUGGGUUCAAUCCCCAGUAUUG